GACGAACGCUGGCGGCGUGCUUAACACAUGCAAGUCGAACGGAAAGGCCCUGCUUUUGUGGGGUGCUCGAGUGGCGAACGGGUGAGUAACACGUGAGUAACCUGCCCUUGACUUUGGGAUAACUUCAGGAAACUGGGGCUAAUACCGGAUAGGAGCUCCUGCUGCAUGGUGGGGGUUGGAAAGUUUCGGCGGUUGGGGAUGGACUCGCGGCUUAUCAGCUUGUUGGUGGGGUAGUGGCUUACCAAGGCUUUGACGGGUAGCCGGCCUGAGAGGGUGACCGGCAGCAGUAGGACUGAGAUAGGCCCCAGGGGCCGACGGGGGGCACAGGUGCGGACCAUUGCACAAUGGGCGGAAGGCUGAGUCAGCAUCGCCGGGUGGUGGCGGAGGGCCAUCGGGUUGAAAACAGAUUUAGCCGCUGACGAACCGCGAGUGACGGGACUGGGUAAAAAAGCACCAGCUAACUACAUG
rnacentral:rRNA from 1 species